rnacentral:tRNA from 1 species
UGGGGUGUCGCAUAGCGGCUAUUGCAGGAGACUGUAACUCUCCCGUCUUCGGACAUCGUAGGUUCGAGUCCUACCGCCCCAACCA